rnacentral:rRNA from 1 species
AUUCCCGCUCCAAUAGCGUAUAUUAAAGUUGUUGCAGUUAAAAAGCUCGUAGUUGGAUUUGUGGAGGAUCUUGGUGUCCACAUUUUUGUUGGUACUAUUGAGAUUGUCCAUCUUUGGGUGGAAUCCGUGUGGCAUUAGGUUGUCGCGCGGGGGAUGCCCGUCGUUUACUGUGAAAAAAUUAGAGUGUUCAAAGCAGGCUUAUGCCGUUGAAUAUAUUAGCAUGGAAUAAUGAGAUAGGACUUGGGUGCUAUUUUGUUGGUUUGCGCACCUUGGUAAUGGUUAAUAGGGACAGUUGGGGGUAUUCGUAUUCCAUUGUCAGAGGUGAAAUUCUUGGAUUUCUGGAAGACGAACUACUGCGAAAGCAUUUACCAAGGAUGUUUUC